rnacentral:rRNA from 1 species
GACGAACGCUGGCGGCGUGCUUAACACAUGCAAGUCGAACGGAAAGGCCCUUCGGGGUACUCGAGUGGCGAACGGGUGAGUAACACGUGGGUGAUCUGCCCUGCACUUUGGGAUAAGCCUGGGAAACUGGGUCUAAUACCGAAUAUGAUCAUCGGCUUCAUGGUCGGUGGUGGAAAGCUUUUGCGGUGUGGGAUGGGCCCGCGGCCUAUCAGCUUGUUGGUGGGGUAAUGGCCUACCAAGGCGACGACGGGUAGCCGGCCUGAGAGGGUGACCGGCCACACUGGGACUGAGAUACGGCCCAGACUCCUACGGGAGGCAGCAGUGGGGAAUAUUGCACAAUGGGCGCAAGCCUGAUGCAGCGACGCCGCGUGAGGGAUGACGGCCUUCGGGUUGUAAACCUCUUUCAGCACAGACGAAGCGCAAGUGACGGUAUGUGCAGAAGAAAGACCGGCCAACUACGU